CAGUCGCCACGGUAAUACGUAGGUCCCGAGCGUUGUCCGGAUUUAUUGGGCGUAAAGCGAGCGCAGGCGGUUUGAUAAGUCUGAAGUUAAAGGCUGUGGCUCAACCAUAGUUCGCUUUGGAAACUGUCAAACUUGAGUGCAGAAGGGAAGAGUGGAAUUCCAUGUGUAGCGGUGAAAUGCGUAGAUAUAUGGAGGAACACCGGUGGCGAAAGCGGCCCUCUAGCUUGUAACUGACGCUGAGGCUCGAAAGCGUGGGGAGCAAACAGGAUUAGAUACCCCCGUAGUCCCUGUCUCUUAUACA
rnacentral:rRNA from 1 species